GAUUAACGCUGGCGGCGUGCAUAACACAUGCAAGUCGAACGAAGUGGCGGACGGGUGAGUAGCGCGUGAGUAACCUGCCUUAGAGAAGGGGAUAGCCUUUGGAAACGCAGAAUAAUACCCUAUGCUCAACGAUGGACUUGCGUCUGAUUAGUUAGUUGGUGGGGUAACGGCCUACCAAGACCGCGAUCAGGAGCCGGGUUGGGAGAGGGUACGGCAACAUUGGGACUGAGACACGGCCAAGACUCUAAGGGAGGCAGCAGUGGGGAAUUUUGCACAAUGGGGGAAACCCUGAUGCAGCGACGCCGCGUGAUUUAGAAGGCCUGCGGGUUGUAAAAAUCUUUUCUAUGGGAAGCAGUACCAUAGGAAUAAGGACCGGCUAAUUACGUGCCAGCAGCCGCGGUAAUAC
rnacentral:rRNA from 1 species